UGGGGAAUUGUUCGCAAUGGGCGCAAGCCUGAUCCAGCCAUGCCGCGUGAGUGACGAAGGUCUUCGGGUUGUAAAGCUCUUUCGGCGGGGACGAAACGGUUCGUGACAACACCACGGACUAAUGACGGUACCCGCAUAAGAAGCACCGGCUAACUACGUGCCAGCAGCCGCGGUAAUACGUAGGGUGCAGGCGUUAAUCGGAAUUACUGGGCGUAAAGCGUGCGCAGGCGGUUUGUUAAGACAGGUGUGAAAUCCCCGGGCUUAACCUGGGAAUUGCGCUUGUAACUGGCAGGCUAGAGUGUGGCAGAGGGGGUGGAAUUCCACGUGUAGCAGUGAAAUGCGUAGAUAUGUGGAGGAACACCGAUGGCGAAGGCAGCCCCCUGGGUUAACACUGACGCUCAUGCACGAAAGCGUGGGGAGCAAACAGGAUUAGAUACCCACGUAGUCCCUGAGCGGGCUGGCAAGGCGCAU
rnacentral:rRNA from 1 species